GGUGGUCGGGUCUGGUAUGUCNUAGGAGANGCCCUGGCGUUUUUUCUAUGUGUACUCUGCCAUGUUGCUUCCCCNGACCAGUGGCCACUGCUGCCAGCCCAGCCCCUAAUGGGUUCCUGGGUUGAGGUGUCUGGGGAAGGGCUCAAUAUCAAACUUUUCAACCCACUAGUCGUCUGAGAAGGCCAUGUGCCGCAAUAUUUAAACAAGUUAAAACUUUCAACAACGGAUCUCUUGGCUCUCGCAUCGAUGAAGAACGCAGCGAAAUGCGAUAAGUAAUGUGAAUUGCAGAAUUCAGUGAAUCAUCGAAUCUUUGAACGCACAUUGCGCCCUUUGGUAUUCCUUAGGGCAUGCCUGUUCGAGCGUCACUAAAAACCGACUCACAUAUCGUGUGGUAUUGGUAGAAGUGGAUAGUACUAACACUACUUUGUCUUACUCUGCUGAAAUGAAUAGGCCAGAAAAGUGGACCAUGGUAAUAGAUUCCAGGAGUGUUUUAAAAUGCUAUACUAGUCUUAUCCAAGUCAUAUUCUGAGCCACUGGACCCCCCAUUUAGUCCAAACAACAGUGGUUGACCUCGGAUCAGGUAGGGAUACCC
rnacentral:rRNA from 1 species